rnacentral:sRNA from 1 species
UAAUGAGUGUGUAAAAAGAAGUCCUAUUGUAAUAGGACUUCCAUAGCAGAACCGUUUAAGACAGUCGACAUUGAUUGUCGCUUAAUA